UACGGAGGGUGCAAGCGUUAAUCGGAAUUACUGGGCGUAAAGAGCGCGCAGGCGGUCGUGCAAGUCGCGUGUGAAAGCCCCCGGCUCAACUGGGGAGGGUCACGCGAUACUGCCCGACUCGAAGGCAGGAGAGGGAAGUGGAAUUCCCGGUGUAGUGGUGGAAUGCGUAGAGAUCCGGAAGAACACCAGUGGCGAAGGCGGCUCGCUGGGCAGUGGCUGACGCUGAGGCGCGACAGCGUGGGGAGCAAACAGG
rnacentral:rRNA from 1 species